GGAAUUUUCCGCAAUGGGCGAAAGCCUGACGGAGCAAUACCGCGUGAGGGAUGACGGCCUGUGGGUUGUAAACCUCUUUUCUCAAGGAAGAAGUUCUGACGGUACUUGAGGAAUAAGCAUCGGCUAACUCUGUGCCAGCAGCCGCGGUAAUACAGAGGAUGCAAGCGUUAUCCGGAAUCACUGGGCAUAAAGCGUCUGUAGGUUGUUUAGUAAGUCUGCUGUUAAAGACUGGGGCUCAACCCCAGAAAAGCAGUGGAAACUGCUAGACUUGAGUGUGGUAGAGGUAGAGGGAAUUCCUAGUGUAGCGGUGAAAUGCGUAGAUAUUAGGAAGAACACCAAUGGCGAAGGCACUCUACUGGGCCAUAACUGACACUCAGAGACGACAGCUAGGGGAGCAAAUGGGAUUAGAUACCCCAGUAGUC
rnacentral:rRNA from 1 species